rnacentral:lncRNA from 1 species
GGGGAUGCAGUUUGCAGAAAUUAAUCUUCUCCUCAGGUGGGCUUGACAUCCCUUGAACCCUUGGACUCCUGGGCACUUUACCUAGCUGGCAAAGUUGGUUUGAAGUUUGUUGGGAGUUUCUCUCCCACUCUCUGGCACAUGUCUUGAGAAAGAGUACUUGUGAAUUCUUCUCAUUUGGUCCAAUCAUCAUGUCACUAACGUGGUGGACCAGUGGAAAGUCCUGCGGAUGGCAAGGUUGUCAAAUUUCCUGUGGAUUAAAUUAUGACAGGGAGCUGGAGACUUGCUGUAGCCCUGGCAUGGGACUCCUGUGUGCUGCUUACUCCUCUGGGCUAUACAAAAACAGGUGUGGGCCAUACGCGCCAAUCCCAGAUCACUGAGAUUACUAUGCAUGGAAGAAAAUAUAAUCGUAGAUGCACAUGAAGGAUGCAGGUGAUACAAUAAAAUAUCAAAAGAAAUAUAAAACUGAAUGGUGUGAUACCUCUGAAUGAAGAUUUAAGCUGCUCUGUGGUUGUGAGGACUACUAUAUCACUAAUAACGAAAAGGUCAUGUCUGUGAGUAAGCCUGGACCUCUCUCAGCCCCUUCCCACUGAAGAUCACACACAUGGAAG